rnacentral:rRNA from 1 species
UUAUGCCUCGGGAGGCAGCAGUGGGGAAUAUUGCACAAUGGGGGAAACCCUGAUGCAGCGACGCCGCGUGAGCGAAGAAGUAUUUCGGUAUGUAAAGCUCUAUCAGCAGGGAAGAUAAUGACGGUACCUGACUAAGAAGCCCCGGCUAACUACGUGCCAGCAGCCGCGGUAAUACGUAGGGGGCAAGCGUUAUCCGGAUUUACUGGGUGUAAAGGGUGCGUAGGUGGCAGGGCAAGUCAGAUGUGAAAGCCCGGGGCUCAACCCCGGUACUGCACUUGAAACUGUCCAGCUGGAGUGCAGGAGAG